CAUACGUAUAUACGGUCUGUACGGUAUGCAUACGUAUAUACGGUAUGUACAAUUUCAUACCGUAGCCGAGCUGGAAGUUGGUGGGCCGAUUGGUAGGCCCAAAUAGUAAGCCCAAUUGUUCGGCCCGAAUGGUAGGCCCAAAUGGUAGGCCCAAAUGUUAAGCCCAAUCGUUCGGCCCGAAUAGUAGGCCCAAAUGUUAAACCCAAAGUGGUUUGGGCCGGUUCGAAAUGUGGAUGGUUCGGUUUCUUCGGCUCAAUUGGCCAGCCUUAAUGCUUAGCCCAAGGAUUGAGCAAGCCCAAGUCAUCAUCACUGGGUCACAUGUUUUAUUGGCGUGCUUUGGAGAAUGAUUUGUUUUGAGUGAUGCUAAUUGAGUAGCGAAACGCUUUGUGGGAGUGUUUACUGUGCUUGUAUGCCAGUACAGGGUGAAGAUCUAUGUGAGGAUCUAUGAGAUAAUCUCUGUGAAGAUCUAAGUAAUGAUCUAUGUGAUGAUCCAUGUGAUGAUUUUGUGUAAUUGAUGUGGAGUGAUGUUGAGCAGUUGUGUUGUGAGUUUACGUUUGUGAUGAAAGGAUUUAGUGGCCAUAGGAAUGUAUUUUUAUACAAAGGGCUGAGGCUUUGUAGAUUACUACAGAUUUGGAAAAGAUGGAGAUUCUAUAGUUAGGUCAACCUUAAUCGAGAGGAAUUGACUUACGCUUAAAUUUCGGGACGAAAUUUCUUUAAGGAGGGUAGAUUGUAAUACCCCGAAAAAUCCAAAUUAAAUUCUGUGGAUUUUUAGAAAUGAUUUCACGAUAGUGGGAGCGAGUACGAGGCUCGGAGGAAUUGUGGAAUUAGUUCGAACGAUUAAUUUUCGAAAAACGAACGUUAUUUAGGGGGUCUCAAAAAGUGACUUUUUAUACAUUGGGAAUUUGGGAAAACUUCCUUCAUGAAAGUUGUAGAGGACAUUAAACCGAGUGCGUGCAUAUGUGGUACGUAAAAAUCGGAGUUCGUAUGCGAAAGUUAUAAGCAAAAUAUGAAAGUUACUGUUUAUGGUAGAUUGGUAUAAAUUUGAAAUGUUACUGUAGCCAGGUAACUUUUCUUUCUUUUCUCUCUCCUUCCCCCGUGCUCUCUCAGUCUCUCUCUUCUGCAACUCUCUCUUUCUCUCUUCUGCAACCUCCUCUUUCACCACCUCUAGACCACCAAAUGGCGAGCUGCGAGCAUCGAUAGACUCGUCUCUUCCUCCUUAUCACGCAUGUGGGAGUUGUUUACGACGAUUUGGCCGGAAAUGUGGAGAUCGAAGCCAACAUUUUUACUGUAGCAAAUUAGUCAACGCCGAUUUCCGGCCACCUCCAGUCAUAAACCCAGGUCCAUUAGAAGCGCCUUAAGCCGCUCUUCAUGCUCGCCAAGUCUCAUAACCCAGAUCGAAGCAUGGAGGAAGAAAGCAUAAUUGGAAAAUUUCACUGUACAUCGGAGUGCUUAAUUGUUCGACUACUUCAAGGUGAUUGACGGUUUGAGUUGGUGGACGAUUGUGGAUCGUAUUUUGAGCUGAAUUGAAGACGCAGCGGGAUUAUCGAGCGGGUAAUCCUACAGGACAGGAGAACCAGGACGGUGAUCGCGCGGUUAGAGCAAUUGUUAGAGUUUUACAACAAUUGUAAGUUGUGAGGUGUGUUAUGCUCAUUUGAGCUUUAUAAUAUAUUGUGAGAGUGAAUUGUAAUAAUGAACUCGAAGUUUCGAGAUUUGGAUUUUGUAAUUGUAAUUAUUCAGGUUUCGGAUUUGAAUUUAUCAUUCAAAAUCCGGGGCGUGACAAUUCUGGUUGUGCAAUUUUAAAUUCAUAGUUUU